GCAAAAGUGGAUUACCAUGGGCUGGAAGACUAUAUCCUUUGGCCAAUGGUGGACAUGAUGCAAGGAUACACAAUAUGUAAAACAAUACAGCAUCAGGGUGCUGCCUCCUCAUGAUCUGACAGCAUUGGAUGAGGUCAGCCAAACUCACCACCAUGGUCACCUUUGCCGAGACGACAGUAGUCCGCCCCAUGGAGCUGCGUGAGCCGCCCUGCCUUACCGCCACCCUGUCCCCUGGGCUGCGGAGGAAAAAGAAGCUGUGGCAGAACGCUGUGAAACACAUCAUUACCCAGCAGGAGCUCAGCGGCCAGAUGGGUUUGGAGCCAGCAAGUAAAAUCUCUGUGACGGAUACCUACAUGAAUGAGAUCAACAAACAAAUCC